rnacentral:rRNA from 1 species
UACGUAGGUGACAAGCGUUGUCCGGAUUUACUGGGCGUAAAGAGCGCGCAGGCGGUCGUUCAAGUCGAGUGUGAAAGCCCCCGGCUCAACUGGGGAGGGUCAUUCGAUACUGAUCGACUCGAAGGCAGGAGAGGGUAGUGGAAUUCCCGGUGUAGUGGUGAAAUGCGUAGAUAUCUGGAGGAACACCGGUGGCGAAGGCGACAUCCUGACCGGUAUUGACGCUGAGGCGCGAAAGCCAGGGGAGCAAACGGG